GUAUUCGAGAUCGAUUUUUCAGAAUGAUCAUUGCUGAAGUGAGUUCAGAGAGAAAAAACUCACGAAUGCAGAAAACUACAGAAAGGUGAAGGAGAACGGUCUACGCGCCAACAGAUACUUGUUGUUAGAGUACAUAAUGUAGUUUCUCCGAAACGAGUGUAUUGUGACAAGUCGCAGCAAAGAGGUUUUAUCGCCGGUGAACGGUUGUCAUGACGAAGCAUGCUCGAGAGGGAAAAUAAACGGCGCAGAAAGACAAGCGUAGAAAUCUACGUGGACGAAUGCGCAGCAAAAAAGGAAUUUUUUCUACAGGGUUAUUCAGAUAACCUGAUCGAUUCCAACUCCAGUCAGGAUAAGGCCUCAACUUCGGGCUCUUCGUCUUCGAGUGUCUAGGCACGGUGGCCAAGGUGACCGGGAUACCUUCCUUCCACUUAGGAAGCGUAAUGAACACCUUCUCCCUCCAGACGUCAAGACCGAGAGAAAUCUAGAUAUUGCUCGAUAGUACCGUUCGUACUAAUCUUCGAAAACAUGGGAGCAUCUUACUAGUUCCAUGGCAGGGCCGACAUAAUCGUCCUCCACGUGAUCUCGGCCAGGAUCGUAAUUGAACCCGUGCGUCUCGAGUUGGUUCACCGUGUAAGGGUCCGCCUUGAAUAAGUUCAGGUUCCUUCCGAUCGGCCUUGACUGAAUCCCGCUUCUGUCGAAAUUCCGGGAGAAGUAGUUGCUCGAGUCCGGCGUUGAACCGUACAGAUGAUUAUUGUACUCCGGAGUGGUGGGUAACAAUCUGUCCACCGAGUUCUCUAAAGUCGACACGGUGUCCCCGUGGCCGGGGCAGUUUAUGUGGCCAGGAAGCUCGUCGUGGCCCGAGAUGAGCGUCUUGUAGUUCCUCAGGGACUGGACAACGGCGAGGAAGAAUAUUUCAUCGAAAUCGUUUCAAAUAUUUCAUCCACCGCGAAAUCCAAAUGUUCGUUCAUAUUUAUCAUAUUUAUGUUUUACUUGAUUUACACUAAGUGGUAGUUAAUCCUUGGCGCUCCGU